rnacentral:lncRNA from 1 species
UUUCAUGUUGACCUGUACUCCCUGAGCUAACACACAGGCCAAACCAUAACUUGUGUAAUCAGUUAUUAGAUUAGUAAGCUAAGGAAAAAGUAUAGGAAAGAGGUAACAGGUUGAUCCACUCGAGGAGCUCUGCACAGGAGCCGAGCAGACACAGGAGCAGAGCCAAACAGGAACAUCAGAGAAGGGAUGUCAGCAUUCCAUCCCAUAUACUGUCACUGGUGUGAAAUGGUUAGUGACUAUCAAAUAUUUGUCCAAUUCAGCCUGAGCUGAGCUCCUGCUCCUUAGCUGAUAAGCAGUUUCCUUUUUGACUUCUUAGGAGGCCAAGCUCCAUGAGUUAGAUGCAUUCUUCCAUGAGGUAGUGCAUGAAGGUCAUCUUGGAGAUGUGUGGAACUAUGUCUUAGAGGCUCAGAAGUCUGUUAAACAUGCUGCCUCCCAUCAGGCACUUGCUGACUGGAUGCUUGAAGCUGGAUGACAGGCAGCUCUGGAGAAGAAACCUUCAUGUCAUCUGUCGGGUACUCGACCGGAAAUAAACGUUAGCAUCAAACCUGCUGUUUGACCAUGAGUCUAUUCACCAUCAUGAUGACGCCUGUGUAUAACACUCUCUCUGGGACAUCUUUUUUCUCCCUUGCUUCCUGCCCUGUCUGGAGUGGCUCUUUCAGAGCCUCAUGACAUACAUUAAAUAUCCAUCACUUUAUCACUGACUGUUGGGCUCAUGCAGCCCUUCCUACCAUAGAAGGAAGAGCCAACAUGUGGCCUUGAACCCAGAUGACUAUGUACUGUCCAUGGAAUAUCUGCAGUUCUUAGGCUCCUGAGCAUUCAUGCUUUCUGGCCAUUUGUAGUUUAUCUGU